CAGAUAGUAACUGUCGUCGGUGCAAUCAUCGGUCAGCCUACAAGGAAGGCGUUUAAUAUCCUUUAGCGUCCGCGUCGGCGAUGAACACCGCGCGACCACGCAAGAAACUGUGUGUGCACAGUUAGCCCAGUCGACCGGCCUACCGAUGGUCGUACCGACUCGUACUGAGAAAUUUAUAUGGCGGCUCAACUGCGACAAUUGCUCAGCCACCCCGCGUACGUUCGGAUGCUACACUAAUUGGACCACCAACCAGUGCCAAUGGACUCUGAUCGCGCCCCUUAAAUUCUCGAUACUUAUGAUUGCACUUCAAUCUUGAUGUAAUCUUGCUGCAAGUACAUCAAAAGAAAUAUAAUAAAUAACUGACAUAUUGCUUAUGUUGCUGGCUUAAAAUAAUAAUAAUUUUAGAGAACUACAUUACAAAGGUUAUACCUAUCGGCGAUAUUCAGUUCGAAAAAACAAGAAUCUGUGCAUAGAAUUGAUCUCUCAAGAUGUAUCUUCGAGGUAUCAUAAUACAGAGAGGAAAGAUGGUCCAAUAAGGGUCAUCGAGGGGAAACAAGCGCGAGGUGAACCGCGUAGAAGCAACGAAGAGAGAAACGAGAAGGAAAACGGUACGACGCAAUGUAGUAGAGGGAGGUGAGGAGGAGGGCCGUUUGUCGGACAUACCUUGGGGCCACCCUGGCGUCUAAUUGCGUGUAAUGCACUCCUGACUUGCCUGGCCUCGAGUUACCGCCAGAGAAGAGUCGCACGAAAAACUCGGGUCGUGCAGCAGCAAAACCCCGAUGAUCGCGGGGACGCGGUGCUAUGUCCGGAACGCUCGGACCCACACGACGUGGACGACGAGGAUGGCGAGGACGGCGACGCCCUCCAGGAGGACGUCGAUCCCCUCGUGCCAUUGCAACCGGGGACGGGGUCGCGUCCUUUCCGCUCAGUUCUCGUUGCAGAUCCCUGGAAUGUCACCGGCACCUCCUGAUCGCUAAAAUGAAGACGUGUUCUUCACCAUGCUUAACCGCCUAUUGGACGGGCGAAAUCUUUUCUACCGCGGACUCUACAGUCUCCCAAAAAAACAAGAAUGCCAUAAGAAAAUACUUGGAGACAUAUCGACGAUGAAGAAAUGGGCGUGCUUUUUACGAAGAUGGGUUGAAGAGAAAUCAUCCGAAUCCCGGCAGCGGCAUCCUUUAAUUGCGGAAUGAUCAUCUCGAGACCUUCCAAAGAAUCGAAGGGGGAGAGACGUCCGGUGGAGCGAGAACUACGACCGCGAUUAUUUAGCGUAGCUAAGAUCUGUCGGUACAGGUUUUUUGUCGCGAGAGCUUAUUAUGAAUAAUGAUUUAUGUUUUGUCUGUGCCAGUAUCAGGGUGUUCCUUUAGAGAGCGAAUAAACGAGAAGGCGAGAUAAAGAUGGACUUAUGACUACGGUGCGCGGCUGAAAGAGAUGUAUAGAGGGGUUAAUAACGGUCGCGUGUUGUAAUACCUACCAUUAUCCACAAACCAACCGCCUAACAAGCUACCUGCUAAUAAUACACGACGGCACAACACACACGAUCACGUGCGUGAUCUUUUUACUUGGAGCCUAUCAAGUUUUUGUCAUUGCGAUUGCUAGCUGCGGGGCAAUAU